CCUACGGGAGGCAGCAGUGAGGAAUAUUGGUCAAUGGCCGAGAGGCUGAACCAGCCAAGUCGCGUGAGGGAAGACGGCCCUACGGGUUGUAAACCUCUUUUGUCGGGGAGCAAAGCGAGUCACGUGUGACUCAUUGAGAGUACCCGAAGAAAAAGCAUCGGCUAACUCCGUGCCAGCAGCCGCGGUAAUACGGAGGAUGCGAGCGUUAUCCGGAUUUAUUGGGUUUAAAGGGUGCGCAGGCGGAGGUGCAAGUCAGCGGUAAAAUUGCGGGGCUCAACCCCGUACUGCCGUUGAAACUGCAUCCCUUGAGUGCGCGAGAAGUAUGCGGAAUGCGUGGUGUAGCGGUGAAAUGCAUAGAUAUCACGCAGAACUCCGAUUGCGAAGGCAGCAUACCGGCGCCCUACUGACGCUGAGGCACGAAAGUGUGGGGAUCGAACAGGAUUAGAUACCCGGGUAGUC
rnacentral:rRNA from 1 species